rfam:Caldalkalibacillus thermarum TA2.A1 ctg6, whole genome shotgun sequence.
GGAGAAAUACCCAAGUUGGCUGAAGGGGCUCCCCUGCUAAGGGAGUAGGCGGCUAAUAGCCGCGCGAGGGUUCGAAUCCCUCUUUCUCCG